GACAAUGGGCCUCCAAAUGAUGAUAUAUAAACUAGUGUAAAUAGUGAAAUAUUUCCGAUGUGGGACUUAUAAGCUCGAUUUUUUUUCCUAGUCCUAAAGUCUCAAUUCGAUUUAUAUUAUCGCCCACCCAUCAGAAAAAAUCUCAUGUCCUCAUUCCAGAUGGUAGAAGAACCCUAUGAUUGAAACCAAGAACAAAGUCACUCUCAUAAGCUACCAAGAACCAAUGGUAUCCUCGAUUCCUGUCUGAAUCAUGCUUCUACCAUUGAUCUGUUGGUGUUUGACAAGUUAAUCCAUUUGGAAGCUAUUCUUGGAUUUCUUAGUUUACUUGCUGCUUCAACGUUCCCAUCAGCUGGAAGUUCUAAUGAUUAACAAAUGUUUGCUGAGUUGAACAGUGAAUUUUAUUUGGUGGGCUAAUAUUGGGAAGCUUUGCUCAAGUAAUUUUCUCUUUUCUCUUAGUUGUCUUCUGUUUUAGUUUUUUGUUUAGGAGAAUCCAUUAUUAUACAUUUUCUUAUGCUUUUGCUUGGGCUUUCACCCUACCCUAGUAUAUAAUUAGGACUCUUCUGUUGGUAUCCGUAUCACACCAUUGCACCUUAUCAAUCUAGAAUGCUGUUAAAGUGUUCUCUGACUUUUACUCUUGCACGUGAACCUUUUAAUUCCAACAAAUAAACCUUGUUUUGCGGUCUAGUGAUUUUGUGAACUAUGAAUAUUAUGAAAAUAUGCCAAUAUGUGAUACGAAUAUUUAACAGAGCUGGUUAUAGUUGUAGUAGAAACAUCGAUUAUAUUCAGGAUUUCCUCUGGAUAGUACAAUUUUACUUUCACUUUAAAGUAUUUUAAUCGUUAACUAAAAUUAACUGAUCUGUUCUUAUGGAUACUUUUCAGAGCAGGAGAACCAAGUACAGUUUUAAGUGCAGAAAUCUUUUUCCUAUAGAGAUGUUAUGCAGCAAUUUGUAAUCAUCAAAGUUUGACUGAGCCUCUUUUGAUCUAAACCACCCUUUUGUUUUUGGUUCUUUCUUUCGUUUCUACUAGAACAACUAGAAGUAUUCACAAUAACAAAAGAAAGUCAUGAGUGGCUGUUCAGGAUUUAUAUAUUAUAAAUCGGUAGAUUGUUUUGGAUAAUCAGCAUAUAUGCUCAUAGAAAGAGCAUACAUGAUUAAGUAAAUUGAUUUCUAUAGCAGAACAAAAACCAAGAGUUACUAUUAUCACCAUUAUUAUUUUUGCUAUUCUUCUUAGCAAUUGUUACAAAGAAUUGAUCAGUAAAGUAUGAUUAUGAUCCUGAGGUUCAGGAUUUGAAUGCAAUCAAUGGGUUUUCUCAGCAUUCCUGGUGUACGUUUGAAGCCACUGCUCUAGCCCAAAACUUGAUCUGCUGUUUCAUGUCACCUGCAGACUUAUUAGAAACCCAGUUUGGAAUAGGAGGAGCACAACUUUGCACCAACCAUGCCUCGGAUAAGUACCUACGCCUCAUCUCCAUAACACCCUCUGUGUUGAAGCUUUCAACCUCAGUCUUUCUCGCUGGUCUACAUCUUGGAAUGCUACAAGUCUGUCAAAGAAAAGAUGACAUAAUGUGAGGACUGAAUAGUUAACAUCAACACCUUCAAAUCAAUCUGAAUUUGGAAGUAUAUGUAUAUGUUUUGAACUUUACUUCGCAAAGAACUAUGGACUUUUCUUAAAGUAGCAUUGUAGCAGCAAGCUACACACACAUACACACAUAUGUGUGUGUGCUUCCUGUCCUUUUCCUAUGAUAUGAGUUUAUUUAUGCCAAAAACUUUGGCCUUUUUGGCCAUGCUGUGAUUGGUGCUGGCCACACUAAAAGCAAUCAUAAACUUUAGAAGGGACAGGAAUCUUAUACAUUUGGACUUUAAAUGAAAAGGAGUCUAUUUCUUAAUAUCUUACAAAAGCAGAUGACUGAAGUACCUUAGAG